rnacentral:snoRNA from 1 species
AUCAUAAUACAACACAUAUAUAAUGACUGGUAUUUUAAAAAUUUAAGUAGGUUUCCAGGCCACUGUGUGAGAUUUGCCUCCCUCAAAUCUUGUUUUGACAUCAUCAGAUUACUGGUUUGACA